UUGCUCUUCAACGAGGAAUACCUAGUAAGCGUAAGUCAUCAACUUGCGUUGAUUACAUCCCUGCCCUUUGUACACACCGCCCGUCGCUACUACCGAUUGAAUGGCUUGGUGAGAUUUCCGGAUUGGCGUUGAGGAGCCGGCAACGGCACCUCUUGGCUGAGAAGUUACUCAAACCUGGUCAUUUAGAGGAAGUAAAAGUCGUAACAAGGUUUCCGUAGGUGAACCUGCGGAAGGAUCAUUAUUGAUUGGUCGAAAGACCUUAUCAGAUUCUACCACCUCUGUGAACCGUUGACCUCCGGGUUAAUAAUCAAACAUCAGUGUAACGAACGUAAGAGUAUCUUAAUUAAACAAAACUUUUAACAACGGAUCUCUUGGCUCUCGCAUCGAUGAAGAACGCAGCGAAAUGCGAUAAGUAAUGUGAAUUGCAGAAUUCAGUGAAUCAUCGAAUCUUUGAACGCACCUUGCGCCUUUUGGUAUUCCGAAAGGCAUGCCUGUUUCAGUGUCAUGAAAUCUCAAUCUAAUAUGUUUUCUGAACAUGUUAGCUUGGACUUGGGUGUCUGCCAGCAAUGGCUCACCUCAAAUGACUUAGUGGAACAUCCCACAUCAGUGUUAGACGUAAUAAGUUUCGUCUCUCCUUGUGGUGAUGACUGCUCAAAACCUGCCAUCGCGCACCUUUUGACUUUGACCUGAAAUCAGGUAGGGCUACCCGCUGAACUUAAGCAUAUCAAUAAGCGGAGGA
rnacentral:rRNA from 1 species